AGAGUUUGAUCCUGGCUCAGGAUGAACGCUGGCGGCAUGCCUAAUACAUGCAAGUCGAACGAGAGGAAGGAAAGCUUGCUUUUCUGAAUCUAGUGGCGAACGGGUGAGUAACACGUAGGUAACCUGCCCAUGUGCCCGGGAUAACUUCUGGAAACGGAUGCUAAAACCGGAUAGGUAGCAGACAAGCAUUUGACUGCUAUUAAAGUGGCUAAGGCCAUGAACAUGGAUGGACCUGCGGUGCAUUAGCUAGUUGGUGAGGUAACGGCCCACCAAGGCGACGAUGCAUAGCCGGCCUGAGAGGGCGGACGGCCACAUUGGGACUGAGACACGGCCCAAACUCCUACGGGAGGCAGCAGUAGGGAAUUUUCGUCAAUGGGGGGAACCCUGAACGAGCAAUGCCGCGUGAGUGAGGAAGGUCUUCGGAUCGUAAAGCUCUGUUGUAAGAGAAAAACGACAUUCAUAGGGAAUGAUGAGUGAGUGAUGGUAUCUUACCAGAAAGUCACGGCUAACUACGUGCCAGCAGCCGCGGUAAUACGUAGGUGGCGAGCGUUAUCCGGAAUGAUUGGGCGUAAAGGGUGCGUAGGUGGCAGAACAAGUCUGGAGUAAAAGGUAUGGGCUCAACCCGUACUGGCUCUGGAAACUGUUCAGCUAGAGAACAGAAGAGGACGGCGGAACUCCAUGUGUAGCGGUAAAAUGCGUAGAUAUAUGGAAGAACACCGGUGGCGAAGGCGGCCGUCUGGUCUGUUGCUGACACUGAAGCACGAAAGCGUGGGGAGCAAAUAGGAUUAGAUACCCUAGUAGUCCACGCCGUAAACGAUGAGAACUAGGUGUUGGGGGAAUAACUCAGUGCCGCAGUUAACGCAAUAAGUUCUCCGCCUGGGGAGUAUGCACGCAAGUGUGAAACUCAAAG
rnacentral:rRNA from 1 species